UGGUGGGAAUGCAAAAUGGUCCAGCCACUCUUGAAGACAGUUUGGCAGUUUCUUACAGAACUAAACAUACUCUCACUGGGCACGGUGGCUCACGCCUGUCAUCUCAGCCAAUCUCCUAGGUGACUCCAGUCGGAGUACAGGCCUCAGUCAGCCACGCAUCCUGUGCCUGCUUGCUGCAGUCCUGGGCUGGGUGCAGUCCUGGGUGCUGGGACCCACAGCGAGGGCUGCAGCUCACACCGGUGUCUCACUCU
rnacentral:lncRNA from 10 species